AACGAACGUUGGCGGCGUGGAUUAGGCAUGCAAGUCGAGCGAAUCCUUGAGGGCUUGCUCUCAAGGGGAAAGCGGCGUAAGGGGCAGUAAUGCAUGGAUAACCUACCCCGAGGUCAGGGAUAGCCAUCCUAACGGAUGGGUAAUACUUGAUACGAGGCAACUUAAAAGAUUUAUCGCCUCGGGAGGGGUUCAUGUGGUAUUAGCUUGUUGGUGAGGUAAUGGCUCACCAAGGCAAAGAUGCCUAGCUGGUGUGAGAGCACGACCAGCGCCACUGGCACUGAGACACUGGCCAGACUCCUACGGGUGGCAG
rnacentral:rRNA from 1 species